GCGGAAGUAGCUCAGUUGGUAGAGCAUAACCUUGCCAAGGUUAGGGUCGCGAGUUCGAGUCUCGUCUUCCGCU
rnacentral:tRNA from 3 species